CCUACGGGCGGCAGCAGUGAGGAAUAUUGGUCAAUGGGCGGGAGCCUGAACCAGCCAAGUCGCGUGAGGGAAGACGGUCCUAUGGAUUGUAAACCUCUUUAGGCGGGGAGCAAUGCCGGGCACGUGUGCCCGGAGGGAGAGUACCCGCAGAAUAAGCAUCGGCUAACUCCGUGCCAGCAGCCGCGGUAAUACGGAGGAUGCGAGCGUUAUCCGGAUUUAUGGGGUUUAAAGGGUGCGUGGGCGGAUUUUUAAGUCAGCGGUAAAAUGUCCGGGCUCAACCCGGGCCGGCCGUUGAUACUGGGGAUCUUGAGUGGGCAAGAAGUAUGCGGAAUGCGUGGUGUAGCGGUGAAAUGCAUAGAUAUCACGCAGAACUCCGAUUGCGAAGGCAGCAUACCGGCGCCCGACUGACGCUGAGGCACGAAAGCGUGGGGAUCGAACAGGAUUAGAUACCCCAGUAGUC
rnacentral:rRNA from 1 species